rnacentral:rRNA from 1 species
AUUGAACGCUGGCGGCAUGCCUUACACAUGCAAGUCGAACGGCAGCACGGGUGCUUGCACCUGGUGGCGAGUGGCGAACGGGUGAGUAAUAUAUCGGAACGUACCUUAUUGUGGGGGAUAACGCUGCGAAAGCUGUGCUAAUACCGCAUAAUCCUUAAGGGGGAAAGCGGGGGACCGUAAGGCCUCGCGCAAUUAGAGCGGCCGAUACCUGAUUAGCUAGUUGGUGAGGUAAAGGCUCACCAAGGCAACGAUCAGUAGCUGGUCUGAGAGGACGAUCAGCCACACUGGGACUGAGACACGGCCCAGACUCCUACGGGAGGCAGCAGUGGGGAAUUUUGGACAAUGGGGGCAACCCUGAUCCAGCAAUGCCGCGUGAGUGAAGAAGGCCUUCGGGUUGUAAAGCUCUUUUGUCAGGGAAGAAACAGCAGUUCUAACACAGUUUGCGAAUGACGGUACCUGAAGAAUAAGCACCGGCUAACUACGUGCCAGCCGCCGCCGUAA